GCCGCAGAGCCGUAAAGGGCUCUACGAGUCGUGAAGUGGCGAGGCGCGGAAGUGUUGCUUUACGACGAUUUGGACGAAAGCUGUAGGCCGGCGUUUGCUGCAUGGGGCUUUCGGUCCCGCACGUGGGCGACUGUCGGUGUUCCGCCCCAGAAUUCGUUCUUUUUGGCGUGGACAAGCCACACUGAAGGACAGAGUGGCAGCGAAGGCCAGAGGUCGUGAGCUGAUGGAUACGCCUGUUGAAAAUGAAGGGACUUUGGGAGGAGGUCUGCAGAGUGGUGCUGAGGGGGCGCGGCUAAGGCUCGAGUCCGGUAGGGAGAGAGUCGGGGGCACAGCAGGGACGGACGCUGGCAGUGUAGACGCGGGGAACGGACAGGCAGGAAUGAAGACAGAGGAUAGAGAAGGAAGUGGACAAACGGCAGAGGAGAUGCGAGUGGACCUAACGGUUGUGAAACAAGAAGUUAUGGACUGGUCGGAAAUGGAAGACGGGAUGCUGGAUGGCCGGUGGGUAAAGCAGGAGGUGGAGGAUGGGCCUGAGGUGAAAGAGGAGAAACCAGGCAGUUUGGAGGUGAAGCAGGAGAUGGGUAGUAGUUUUGUGGUAAAAGAAGAGAAAGUGGAUGGAGCAGAGGUAAAAGAAGAGAAAGUGAAGGUGAAGGAAGAGGUGAUGGACUGGCUAGAUGUGAAGGAAGAGAAGAAAGAUAACUUGGAGAUAAAAGAGGAGGUGUUUGUUGCUCAAAACAUAAAAACGGAGGAAAUGAUGGAUGAAGUUUGUGUAAAAGAAGAGAAGUAUUUCCCAAAGGAAGAAGUGAUGGAUGAUACAAAGGUGAAAGAAGAGCCUCAGAUAAAUCCCCCUGUGGGUUUCAAACGGAAACUGGCCAUGUCAAGGUGUGAAACUUGUGGUACAGAAGAAGCAAAGUACAAAUGUCCACGUUGUAUGCGAUAUUCCUGCAGUUUGCCCUGUGUAAAGAAACACAAAGCAGAACUGACCUGUAAUGGAGUUCGAGAUAAGACUGCAUAUGUUUCCAUACAACAGUUUACUGAAAUGAAUCUCCUGAGUGAUUAUCGGUUUUUGGAAGAUGUGGCAAGAACAGCAGACCACAUUUCUAGAGAUGCUUUCUUAAAAAGACCAAUAAGCAAUAAACAUAUGUACUUUAUGAAAAAUCGUGCCAGAAGACAAGGUAUUAACUUAAAGCUUCUACCCAAUGGAUUCACCAAGAGAAAAGAAAAUUCAACAUUUUUUGAUAAGAGAAAACAACAGUUUUGUUGGCAUGUGAAGCUCCAGUUUCCUCAGAGUCAAGCUGUGUACAUAGAAAAAAGAGUACCAGAUGAUAAAACUGUUAAUGAAAUCCUAAGACCUUACAUUGAUCCUGAAAAGUCUGAUCCUGUAAUUCGUCAAAGGUUGAAGGCCUACAUUCGCUCUCAAACUGGGGUCCAAAUUUUAAUGAAGGUUGAAUAUAUGCAGCAAAAUUUAGUAAGGUAUUAUGAACUGGAUCCUUACAAAAGUCUCCGUGACAAUUUGAGGAACAAAGUGAUCAUUGAGUAUCCAACAUUACAUGUGGUAUUAAAAGAAUCCAGUCAUGACAUGGAAGUUCUUCACCAAGUGAAAAGUGAAUCUCCCAAGAACGUUGGCAAUGAAAAUUGAGCACUUCUUCUGGAGGAAGAAGGAUUUACAAGAAACAUGUUUGAGUGAGGCCAUCUCCAUUUGGAUUCUUGAUAAACUCGGAUGAAUAAACAAACUCCCUGACCCAUGUUAAGUUCAACAUCCUGCAUUUUGUUCAUGAAUCACAUUUUAAAAGGAGGAAAGCUUCACCUGGCCUUCUUUAUUUUUUAAACAAUGAUUUCAAAGGCAAGGCUGAAAGAUAGGACAGGCUGCGUUGGUACAGCUAACUGUCCAGGAAUUCUGACCAGCUGACCAUAGAGUCCCAAGUCCAUUCUGUAGUUUGGCACCACAUGGUGGCAGAUGUCACUCCGGCUGAAAUGUUGAUGGGACAAAUCUGAGUCAGUCCUGUAUCUGACUUGUACUUCUAGGAUAACAGCGUGAGUCCAGCAAUCUCCUAGCUUAGGUGUCUGAUCUUUCACCCUAUUCCCAGCCUUCUGGGUAUCUCCUGGCAAUAUUAAGAACUCCAGCUUGAUCCCUGAAUCAUCUAGGUAAGCUGUCAUCUGAAAAUGUAGCACAGUCCUAGCUCAGCCUACUAAUGUGCUUCCUGUGUAUUUCUUUUCUCUUCUUCUCUUUUUUUUGAUACCUCAGACAGAAACAGACCCAAAGGAUCCAGCAAAUGCACAGUUUUUCCAUAUCCAGUGACGGGCUAACCUAGCACUGAAGUGAGGGAGAGAGGCAGGAGAGGGGCAGCUGGGACCACACUGUGUGGAGGAAAUGCCAUCCUCAAAUCUGCCAUGAGGACACAAGAACAGAGUAGAAGGCAGGGCCUUAGUCAGGGCUGGGCUCUCCUCAAGGGUUGACCCCACCAUCCCACCACCACCAAUCCAUAGCCUGUAUAGCCCGGGGUCCAGUGGCUUGAACCAGAGGUGGGGGACCUACCUGGACAAUUUGUGUGAGAAUAUGGGCAUGAUGAGGAACACCUCUUUCUGCAAACAAGAUGGAACAGAACAGAAGUAGUUGGGAAUCUUUCUCCAAGCUGAAGCAAAUGGUGGAUCCACCAGGACUGUUGCCUAAGUCAUUAAUCUCCUCAGAUGAAGGAGCUGGCUAUUGUUACAGCCUAUAGAAUAAACUGCGAUGGAGAAGACUUGAUGUGGACUUGCACAGGAUACAGAGUUAUAAUUCUUGAGGCAGAAUACUCCAGGGUUUCUUAUUUAAACUAUGAGUCCAAUGUUGGUGACCCUCUGUGUUCAAUUUACACCUUCUCCUUGGGCAGAGUCUUCUAACUCCUUGGUUUCAUGUCCCUUGAUAACUCCAUAUUCUGAAUAUCCCUACUGAACUUGAGACCAGACACCUAACUUGACAUGCAAAUCACACAUGUACUCAGUGUGACCCACAGCUAAUUUAUCCUUUUCUCCACCUGCCUCUAACCAGCUCCUCCUGGGCUACCCAUUGUCAUCACCAGUCAUCCAGUUGCUCAUACCAGAAAUACCAGAGUUAUAUUUGUCUCUUUCCUAUAACACUUUAAUCACCUAAUCCUGUUCAUUCUACCUCCUAAAUAUCUCUUUAUUCUGUGCAUAUCUCUGUAUUCUUUGGCCAACCAAACUAGUCCAGGCUACCAUCUUUUCUAGCUACCUCAUUGAUCCUCUGUCUGGUCUCUUGGCUUCUGUUCUUAACACUUGGAGUCCACUCUGUCUGUCCGUUUAGAAUGAUGUUACCUAAGUAUAAUCUGAUCAUGUUUCUUGCCUGCCCAAAACCUUUGAGUAACUUUCUGUUGCUUUUCAGGUAAAAUCCAAAGUCCAAGUUCCAACCUUGCUUACUCUUUCCAGCCUCAUCUAUUACCAGGACAGAGACCGUGUCUUUCCAUUUCAUUGCUGUCCCCUCAGAACCUAAAACAAUGUCUAGCAGAAGGUUGCUCUCUAUAAAUAGUGGUUGCAUGGAUGACUAAGUGAAUAAACAAUUUCUGUGCAUUUAAGGAUAACCAAGGAGAAGGGAGAAUGAGUGAAGACCAAUAUUAAAACCUCUCAGGGGAGGCCUGGGUGGCUUGGUUAAGCAUCUACCUUCGGCUCAGAUCAUGAUCCCAGGGCCCUGGGAUCCAGCCCUGCAUCGAGUUCCCUGCAGGGAGCCUGCUUCUUCAUCUGCCUGCCACUACCCCUGCUUGUGCUCUUUCUUUCUCUGACAAAUAAAUAAGUAAAUAAAAUCUUAAAAAAAAGAAACAAAAAAACCUCUCAGGAUUAUUGUUCUUAGUCUAAGACUUAAAUAUUUUAAUCCCAGGGCUGGAAAAGUGGAAUGUUCUUGAACAAGCAUUGCACAAAAUGUAAUGAAUAGGAUGGUCUGCAUUUUUCUGCCGCACAAGCUCCCCUUUUGGAUGUGAGGAGCAUGCGGUCAGAUUAUCUGUAUGACUGUGGGGACUGGGCAGGUUUACAAGGUGAAGAGAAGAAAUGGCAAUUGUAAAGUUGAGUGUAAGGGAUAGUUUUGUUUGUUUGUUUUUUAGCUAAGGAGCAUCCAUUUCACUUCCUAAGGGUACUUCAUUUCCUUUUGAAGAAGGAUCUCUUUCCUGUUGGAUUCAGUCUGUUGUCUGUUGGGACUGUAAUUAAGAGCCUGCCCUCCCUUGAGGCCCAGGUUAAGCCAAUAAAAUGUUUUCUUCCUAGAAUUAGACUCUUGGGGGCGCCUGGGUGGCUCAGUCAGUUAAGCAGCUGACUCUUGAUUUUGGCUCAGGUUGUGAUCUUGGGGUCAUAAGAUCAAGCCCCACAUCAGGCUCCAUGCUGAGCGUGGAGCCCUGCUUGAGAUUCUCUCUCCCUCUGCCCCUUCCCCUGCUUGCACGCUCUCUCAAAAGAGAAGGAAGGAAGGAAGGAAGGAAGGGAGGGAAAGAAAGAAAGAAGGAAAAAGGAAAGAAAGAAAGAAAAAAAACGAAAGAAAAAACGAAAAAGAAAGAAGGAAAAGAAAGAAAAGAACGAAAGAAGAAAGAAAAAAGAGAAUUAGGCUUGAGCACAGAGAUCUAGAAACUUAAAACAUUUGCUGUUUGGAGGUGACCUUCCAGCCAUACCAUGCCUGCUGUGAGACCACCAUGGUGUUCCUGGGACCCAUUCAUCCGUUUAUUAACUCAGUAGUGGGAUCCCAAUAGUUGUCUAAUAUGUUUCUUUUUCCAUAAUUUGAUCAGAGUUGUUUCUGUUACAUAUAACUGUUGGUGUGAUAAUGGUGGUACAGGAGAACAUUAUCAGAAUACAGUUCUGACAUCUUUCAGUACUUUGGACCAAAGCCAUUAAAUGAAUCCAAGAAUAAACACCAGGUACAAUUUGACCUUAGAAGUUCAGUUAUGACUGACUUUCCUGACAUGGAAAUGUGUAACAUUCACAUGUGGAUCUUCAUAGGGAUCAGUAGCUCAAAAUAUCACUGUUUUGAUGGUCAUCUGUAUCAAAAAGAAACCAAAACCACACCUUCAACUUUGUCUUUCAUUGUAGCCAUUGUAAAAAGAAGGACUAAAAAUGAUGAUCAACCUUACUACUGGCCAAAGACAAAUUAAAAUAAGUACUGUGUUCUUGUCAAUCAGUUCUGCCAAAAUUUAAAAAACUGGCACUCUCCAUUGUGGAUGAGAAUGUGAACAAAGGGUACUCUUUCAUAGUUGGUAGAAGUGCAAAUUGGUCAAUCUUCCUGGAAGGCAAUUUGGCAGUGCCUAUCAAAAUUUAACACAUGCACACCCUUGAUCCAGCAGUUCUCCUUAGAAAGAAAAACAGCAAAAAGAUACAAGUAUAAGAAUGUUCAUUGUGACAUUAACUUGUACUAUCCAAAUAUUAGAAACAGUGUAAAUGCUCCUUAAUAGACUGAAUAUAGUAUGGUAUAGUUUUACUGAUUCAUGAUUCAUUCAGGAGCCAUUAUAAAAAAUGUGGUUGAUAUGUAUGUAAUAGAAGUAGAAUCCACAAUAUUUUAAUGAGUGCAAACAAUAAGUUACAGAAUAAUGUGAAUAAAAAAUUCUUUAAAAAAACACAAAGCUAUACAUAAACUUUAUGAGUAUAUGUAUACAUAUGUAAAUAUGUCUGAAUGUGCAUAGAAAAGAUCCAGAAGUAUCCAUACUGAACAGAUAUUGCUGGUUACUCUUGAUGAAUGGGGAGAAGCAAUGGAAUGCAAGGUAAAGAAGGGGAAGUUUGAUUUUUUAUUUUAUGUCUUUGAUAUUACUUGAAUUUUUAUUGCCUUUGUGUUACCUUUAUAAUUUAAAAAAGUUGAAUAACUUUGGUAAUUUAAGAAAGAACAAAAAAUGAAUAAAAACUAUUAAAAUGUAAAGAAAUAAUCAGAAACCAGGCCAAGUAACCUUUCCAGAGGCUUUGACCCACUUGUCUAGACAAGACUGUGGUCUAUCCUAGUAGGUGAAAGCUGAGGGACCAGCUAUACCCAGGACACAGCCAAGUUUCUGUAAGAGAACCACCCAGGCAGGCCAGAGGAGCUCCUCCUGGAAGCUUUACCCUGGACUGGGUGGAAAUCACCCCCUACAGGAAUUAGAAUUGCGCAUUUGAUUGUUUUUAUUGGCUCUGCCCUUCUUACUUUGAAUACCUCCUUCUUUUGUUCAUGAAUGUUUAAUUUGUCAUCUUGUUUAUGGCUGAAGCAAGAUUCCUGUCUAUCUAAUGAACUUAAUGAUUCUGACGUGAGUGUCUAACAGACAGUAAUUAGAACCUCUUUGGCUCACUGGGAUGGCAUAAUACCACCAGGUGCCUGCUUUUCAUGCUGCCUUGUUUGGGCAGAAAGUUUAUUUAUUUGUAUUCUACUUUAUUCCAAAAUACAUUGUAGGUCAAAUACACUGUUUUUGUUUUGUUUUUAAAUCAGAAAAUGGUGAAUGAGAGAAAAAUAAGGAUAUAAAAACAAGAUUAAGCCAACAAUGAAGUUGCCACACAGGCUACAUGCUUACCUUAAGUUUUACUUAAUUUGGUUCUGAGUUUCCUAGUGGCCAAGGUCAAGUGGACAUGAUCAGGUACAGAACUAAAGUGAUAGUCUUGGUUUUCCUGAGCAAUAAAAAAAAGACAGAUUUCUCAGUAAGGAUGGAUAUAUACAUAUGUGGGGGGCAGUGCUGAGAAGGAAAGUAUUCUACUAUAGUCUCAUGGACUUGAGAGUGAAUCCUGACUAGUGUCAGUCAACUGAUGGUCCUUUUCCAAGGCUGCAGUAAUUUCCUUCUUUCAAAUGAACCUUGAGUCACUUUGACCCCUUGAAUUGCUGUCCCUCCUCUCCAGAGGAAUGCUCGUCCCUUCUCUCAAAACCAUAAGCCUGGGGAAGAAUGCUACUUUGUUCAAGUUAUUCUUGAUUAUUUUGGAACUUCCUAAAGCUCCUGUCAUGUGGUUCCAAGUUUAACCAUAGCCACUUUGGACAUGGUUUUGUUUCCACAGUGAUGUGUGUCAGCAACCACAGAGUGAGCUUCUUGUAUUUUUAUAUCAAUAUGAUACCCUUUGUCUAUUUGUUCCUCAGAGGUUUCACUUUCGCUUAUGUAAUGGGCUAUGGCAUUUUACAGUCAUUACCUCAUGCUGGGAUCUCCUUUUUCUUUGUACCUCCUGAUGCGUCAUAUUCUUGACUCUACUCCCUUGGAUCUCUUAGAUACAAUGCUCUGAGCUGGUGGGUGGGAGUGGGUGGGAGCCAGAUUAUCUGAUGACUUCUCCACCCUUCCUCACACAAGAGCCACUUAGGUUUGUCACCACGCCGUUUCUGUACUCAGUCUUUUGGCAUCUUUCAGACUGCACACUGGCUUAAAACUACAGCCGCUACCAAAAGCAAUGGGUUUAGAUGGGGCUGGAAGACUCCAGGCUCCGCUCUGGGUUGGACACUGGGCAGGCAGAGUCUUCUGAACUCUGGAGCUACAUUGACUAUUCCCACAGGGUCUGCAGCUGGAAGUGGUCAGUCUCCUAUGUGUACCCCUGUCCAAGCCUACACUAUUAAGAAGAUCUUGAAAGAAACCUACAUCUCAAUAUAUGACCGUUCCUUCACUUGGGGCUCAUUUUCCUGAGCUCCUCCAUAUUCUUAUAUACAGCUGUUUACUUAGAUGUCUGAUAAGCUUCUCAAGCUUAACAUGCCCAAAACAGAACUCCUGCUUCAUGUUCCCACCUCACCCCCACCCAAGUGUUACUCGAGAAGAGUAGAACUCUUCUCCAUCUUGGAAAAUGGCACUACGCUUCACCUAAUUGCUCAAUCCAAAAAUAGGAAUCAUGCAUGAUUCCUCCUUUUCUUUCCUUCACCUUUUACAUCAAAAAACAGCUAAAUCCAAACACUUUUCUCCAUAUGCACAGCCAUCAUCCUGGUCUGAGUUUCUGUCAUCUUAUGCCUGGACAACUGAAAUCACCAAUGAGGCUCCUUGCUUCCAUUCUUUUCCCACUACAGUCCAUUCCCACACCACACAGUGGCCAAGGUAACAGAGCACACUGCUUCCUACACUUAAAAUCUUCCAAUGACUUCCUGCUGCUCUCAGGAAAAAAAAAAAAAAAAAAAAUCCCAUUUCUCCUGCCCACUUCUCAGAUCACAUCUCAUAUCACUCUCCAUGUCACUCAUGGAACUCCAGACACACUGGCUUCUUUCUCUUCCUUGAAAAUGCCACAUUAUUUUUCAUUCAUUGCCCUUUUACUGCUAUAUACUUUGCUUAGGAUGUGUUCUUUCACUGGACUUUUUAUCAUUGAGGUCUCACUUCUUCAAUGAAAUCCUCGUCCAAAUAUAUCUCCUAAAUAACGUUUUUACUUCUUCAUAUCAUUCUUAUAAUCAAAAAGGAUCUUGAGUAUUAGUUUGCUCACUUGUUUAUUAUUUGCCUUCUUCAUCCAGAACACAAGGUCAAUAAAGACAAGGAUUUUGUCUGUUUCAUUCACAACUGUAUCUCUGGUGAAUUUUUUAAAUAAAUAGGUGUAUGAAGUAAUGGACAAGCAAAUGCUAUAGCACAUGUGUCAGUUCAACUUAACAAACAUUUACUGGGCAUCUACUAUGUACCAGGCACUUGCCAGAUGCUUUAGAUUCAAAGAUUAAACAAGCCUACUUCUUUCCCUUAAUUCUGGAAGUAUUUUAGCCCUUUUUCUCUAAAUACUGCCUUUCUCACAUUUCUAUUUUUUUCUUCCUGACCUCUUUAACAUCUUGUUUCCCAUUUCUUUGCCUUCCCCUUUUUUGCUGUAUCCUGAGUAAUGUCUUCAGAUUUAUCUUCCAGUUCUCUAAUUCUCUCUUUAUCUGUAUCUAUUGUACUUGCUUCCUGUUUCUAAUUUUAAUAAUUAUCCUUUUUAUUUUCAGAAGUAGUAUUUGACUUUUUCUCAAUUCUGCCUGGUCUUUUUAGAUUCUGUUUAUUUUUUUUCAUGUUUUUGUUUCCCCUUUCUAUUGCUUUAAACAUUUUAAACACUUGAUAUUUGGUAUAUAAUGUCUAAUUCUGUUCAUUGUGGUUUCUACUGGCUUUCACUCAGGGUAGCUUAUGUGUUUCCUAGCGUGGUUAUCAUUUUAAUUGUGAUCUUAUGUUCACUGGAACUUUAUCUGUUAGACUCCCAUGAAGCUUGUGGAAUGUCCUUCCACAAAAGAGCUGCUUCUGCCAGGUGCCCUGGUAUGCUACCAACCUGGGGCCAAUUUAAACUAAUUUACAGCUGAAGUUUCCCAGACCAUGCAGAUAGUAUAAAUUUCAAAUCCUACACUUGUGUGAGGGAAAGAUUGUGUUUUAACAUCUUAUGAGUCCAGGCUAAGACAGACAAAGUUUCUCAUUUCUCUUCAUUGCAGAUAGGUAGGCUUUUUUUCUAGUCUAUUCUUUCAUUUAGUAUGUAUCCUUUUGUGAGUCUCACUUUUAUGCAGAAUUCGCUAUUCCUACUCUCCAUCUUUUGAGGGCACUAAGCCUGGUCUCGUGUCUCCCAUAAUGCCCCUAAAACCAAGCCUCAAAGUCACUGGGAUAGACAGGCUUCCCAAAGCAGCAGAGCUCCAGUGGUAAUUUACCAUUUUGAAUCCCAGUCUGUGUGCGUACACACAUGUGUAAUGAGGAUUUCCCUAAUUUGCAUGAGAGUUUGACUAUGCAUUUAAAAGUAUAUUUGUUAUAUUUUAUCUAGGAUAUCCAGAUGUUCUGUCUUAUAGCUAGAAACACAAUAUUCUGCCUUCUAUGAACAUGUGAUAUAGUUUUGGGAGACAGAAACAUCCAUUUAUCCAACCAUCAACAUUUUUAUUGGUUUUUCUGUAUCAGACACUAAUAACCAGGUACACUUAAAAAUAUGCUUAGAGGCAUGCCCACAGUGAUGAGAGGAUGUAGGGGUAAAAGAGACCAAUUCUAAUGGGGGAUCUGGGAAGGUUUUGCAGAUACAAAGGUUUUGGAGCUGGAUAAUAAUAAUACCUACCUUUUAUCUCAUGCUUACUCUGGACCAAGCACUGUGGCAAGUACUUAACAUGUAUGGUCACGAUAUCCUUACAAGAAGGCAUAAGAUAGAUACUAUUCUUAGCAUCUCAAUUUUACAACUGAAGCAUAGAGAAUUUGAGUAAUGUUCCCUGUCAUAUAGAAAGCAACUGGCAGUGCCUGGAUAUGAAUUCAAGCAGUUUAAGUCCUGAUCCAGGGCUUUUAGCUACUAUGCUAUAUUGUGCUUGAACAGACAGGGAUUGGGGGAGGGCGUUCCAUCCAGGAAGAAAAUAAUGCCUAUAUCCCUAGACGACUGUGAGGAUUAUUUGAGAUACUGUAAGGAAAACCA